CCAUCACCAGAGGGGCCGGGAUUGCUGCGGCAGCUAGCCAAUUAAAGGAGGAGGAUGAAGGAGAGGAGUCUGACGAUGCAGACAUCGCCAUCGUAUGCAGGCCACGCCCUCGCAGGAAAACCAGCCAAUGAAAACGCUCGCAGCAGCAUCAGCAGAACACACCGGCACGACUGACAGGGCUUCUGAAGCAUGCAGUGGAAGAGCUGUCAGUCAAGCUAAAGGUCCCGCCCUCCAACCUGCUGCUGCUGCACGGAGAGGCGGAACUCACACACUAUUGGCCAGCUAGGACUCUGCAUCGCUGACAUCAUUGUCUGGAACCAACUUCACAUCCCUCUUCACUGCACUACUGACACUGAGAUGGAAUCCACAACCCAACCACUAGUGGUCUGCAUUGGGAAUCUGAAGAGUCUGUCAUCACCGCCAGGAAUGACCGCGUGACCAUUCCCGUUGCAGACGGCCUGACUUGCACAAUUGACAAGCUGUUCAACUGGGUCUGCAACUUGUCAUAUCCAGCACAGCUCAGCUCUGUUUUCACCUUCUUUGAAUAUGUUUAUGACGUUCCAUCUCAACCAACAAACGACCAAAGGUACUAGAACUUCUCUCAAAGCUUCCCAGCAACCCAGUGAUCACUCAACAUGUGUUUAUGCCCAAAAUGUAAAUAGUUACUACAGACAUCAAGAAAGUAGUUUGGCAUCUUUGUCAAGUACACACUUUGUCAGA